UAACAAGCAUGUGGUAAUUUCAUUAGUA
rnacentral:sRNA from 1 species